rnacentral:sRNA from 1 species
ACGGAUCUAUAAAACUCAGAGACCUGGCGCCUUCCACAUGGCCGUGGUGACGCCCUCGUCCACGAGCUGUCGCUGCAGCGCGUAG